AUUGAACGCUGGCGGCAGGCCUAACACAUGCAAGUCGAGCGGCAGCGGGAAAGUAGCUUGCUACUUUUGCCGGCGAGCGGCGGACGGGUGAGUAAUGCCUGGGAAAUUGCCCAGUCGAGGGGGAUAGCAGUUGGAAACGACUGCUAAUACCGCAUACGCCCUACGGGGGAAAGCAGGGGACCUUCGGGCCUUGCGCGAUUGGAUAUGCCCAGGUGGGAGUAGCUAGUUGGUGAGGUAAUGGCUCACCAAGGCGACGAUCCCUAGCUGGGCUGGGAGGAUGAUCGGCCACACUGGAACUGCGAUACGGUCCAGACUCCUACGGGAGGCAGCAGUGGGGAAUAUUGCACAAUGGGGGAAACCCGGAUGCAGCCAUGCCGCGUGUGUGAAGAAGGCCUUCGGGUUGUAAAGCACUUUCAGCGAGGAGGAAAGGUUGAUGCCUAAUACGUAUCAACUGUGACGUUACUCGCAGAAGAAGCACCGGCUAACUCCGUGCCAGCAGCCGCCGUAACAC
rnacentral:rRNA from 1 species